GACGGUCUAGUGGUUUGAGCUUCCGCCUCAGAUGCGGGAGAUCGCGGGUUUGAACCUCGGCUGAGUCA